rnacentral:rRNA from 1 species
CCUACGGGUGGCAGCAGUGAGGAAUAUUGGUCAAUGGGCGCGAACCUGAACCAGCCAAGUCGCGUGAGGGAAGACGGUCCUAUGGAUUGUAAACCUCUUUUGUCGGGGAGCAAAAGACGCCACGCGUGGCGUUCCGAGAGUACCCGAAGAAAAAGCAUAGGCUAACUCCGUGCCAGCAGCCGCGGUAAUACGGAGGAUGCGAGCGUUAUCCGGAUUUAUGGGGUUUAAAGGGUGCGCAGGCGGAAUAUCAAGUCAGCGGUAAAAUUGAGAGGCUCAACCUCUUCGAGCCGUUGAACCUGGUUUUCUUGAGUGAGUGAGAAGUAUGCGGAAUGCGUGGGGUAGCGGUGAAAUGCAUAGAUAUCACGCAGCACUCCGAUUGCGAAGGCAGCAUACCGGCGCUCAACUGACGCUCAUGCACGAAAGUGUGGGUAUCGAACAGGAUUAGAUACCCGGGUAGUC